rnacentral:rRNA from 1 species
GAGGCCGAAAGGCGUAGUCGAUGGGAAACGGGUUAAUAUUCCCGUACUUGGUGUUACUGCGAAGGGGGGACGGAGAAGGCUAUGUUGGCCGGGCGACGGUUGUCCCGGUUUAAGCGUGUAGGUGUGUGUUCCAGGUAAAUCCGGUUCACUUUAACACUGAGGCGUGAUGACGAGGCACUACGGUGCUGAAGCAACAAAUGCCCUGCUUCCAGGAAAAGCCUCUAAGCAUCAGGUAACAUCAAAUCGUACCCCAAACCGACACAGGUGGUCAGGUAGAGAAUACCAAGGCGCUUGAGAGAACUCGGGUGAAGGAACUAGGCAAAAUGGUGCCGUAACUUCGGGAGAAGGCACGCUGACACGUAGGUGAAGUGAUUUACUCAUGGAGCUGAAGUCAGUCGAAGAUACCAGCUGGCUGCAACUGUUUAUUAAAAACACAGCACUGUGCAAACACGAAAGUGGACGUAUACGGUGUGACGCCUGCCCGGUGCCGGAAGGUUAAUUGAUGGGGUCAGCGCAAGCGAAGCUCCUGAUCGAAGCCCCGGUAAACGGCGGCCGUAACUAUAACGGUCCUAAGGUAGCGAAAUUCCUUGUCGGGUAAGUUCCGACCUGCACGAAUGGCGUAAUGAUGGCCAGGCUGUCUCCACCCGAGACUCAGUGAAAUUGAACUCGCUGUGAAGAUGCAGUGUACCCGCGGCAAGACGGAAAGACCCCGUGAACCUUUACUAUAGCUUGACACUGAACAUUGAGCCUUGAUGUGUAGGAUAGGUGGGAGGCUUUGAAGUGUGGACGCCAGUCUGCAUGGAGCCGGCCUUGAAAUACCACCCUUUAAUGUUUGAUGUUCUAACGUGGACCCGUGAUCCGGGUUGCGGACAGUGUCUGGUGGGUAGUUUGACUGGGGCGGUCUCCUCCUAAAGAGUAACGGAGGAGCACGAAGGUUGGCUAAUCCUGGUCGGACAUCAGGAGGUUAGUGCAAUGGCAUAAGCCAGCUUGACUGCGAGCGUGACGGCGCGAGCAGGUGCGAAAGCAGGUCAUAGUGAUCCGGUGGUUCUGAAUGGAAGGGCCAUCGCUCAACGGAUAAAAGGUACUCCGGGGAUAACAGGCUGAUACCGCCCAAGAGUUCAUAUCGACGGCGGUGUUUGGCACCUCGAUGUCGGCUCAUCACAUCCUGGGGCUGAAGUAGGUCCCAAGGGUAUGGCUGUUCGCCAUUUAAAGUGGUACGCGAGCUGGGUUUAGAACGUCGUGAGACAGUUCGGUCCCUAUCUGCCGUGGGCGCUGGAGAACUGAGGGGGGCUGCUCCUAGUACGAGAGGACCGGAGUGGACGCAUCACUGGUGUUCGGGUUGUCAUGCCAAUGGCACUGCCCGGUAGCUAAAUGCGGAAGAGAUAAGUGCUGAAAGCAUCUAAGCACGAAACUUGCCCCGAGAUGAGUUCUCCCUGAGACUUUAGGUCUCCUGAAGGAACGUUGAAGACGACGACGUUGAUAGGCCGGGUGUGUAAGCGCAGCGAUGCGUUGAGCUAACCGGUACUAAUGAACCGUGAGGCUUAACCUU